rnacentral:rRNA from 1 species
AGUGAACGCUGGCGGUAGGCCUAACACAUGCAAGUCGAACGGCAGCACAGUAAGAGCUUGCUCUUACGGGUGGCGAGUGGCGGACGGGUGAGGAAUACAUCGGAAUCUACUUUUUCGUGGGGGAUAACGUAGGGAAACUUACGCUAAUACCGCAUACGACCUACGGGUGAAAGCAGGGGAUCUUCGGACCUUGCGCGAUUGAAUGAGCCGAUGUCGGAUUAGCUAGUUGGCGGGGUAAAGGCCCACCAAGGCGACGAUCCGUAGCUGGUCGGAGAGGAUGACCAGCCACACUGGAACUGAGACACGGUCCAGACUCCUACGGGAGGCAGCAGUGGGGAAUAUUGGACAAUGGGCGCAAGCCUGAUCCAGCCAUACCGCGUGGGUGAAGAAGGCCUUCGGGUUGUAAAGCCCUUUUGUUGGGAAAGAAAAGCAGCAGGUUAAUACCCCGCUGUUCUGACGGUACCCAAAGAAUAAGCACCGGCUAACUUCGUG